rnacentral:rRNA from 1 species
GAUGAACGCUAGCUACAGGCUUAACACAUGCAAGUCGAGGGGCAGCAUGGUCUUAGCUUGCUAAGGCCGAUGGCGACCGGCGCACGGGUGAGUAACACGUAUCCAACCUGCCGUCUACUCUUGGACAGCCUUCUGAAAGGAAGAUUAAUACAAGAUGGCAUCAUGAGUCCACAUGUUCACAUGAUUAAAGGUAUUCCGGUAGACGAUGGGGAUGCGUUCCAUUAGAUAGUAGGCGGGGUAACGGCCCACCUAGUCUUCGAUGGAUAGGGGUUCUGAGAGGAAGGUCCCCCACAUUGGAACUGAGACACGGUCCAAACUCCUACGGGAGGCAGCAGUGAGGAAUAUUGGUCAAUGGGCGAGAGCCUGAACCAGCCAAGUAGCGUGAAGGAUGACUGCCCUAUGGGUUGUAAACUUCUUUUAUAAAGGAAUAAAGUCGGGUAUGGAUACCCGUUUGCAUGUACUUUAUGAAUAAGGAUCGGCUAACUCCGUGCCAGCAGCCGCGGUAAUACGGAGGAUCCGAGCGUUAUCCGGAUUUAUUGGGUUUAAAGGGAGCGUAGAUGGAUGUUUAAGUCAGUUGUGAAAGUUUGCGGCUCAACCGUAAAAUUGCAGUUGAUACUGGAUAUCUUGAGUGCAGUUGAGGCAGGCGGAAUUCGUGGUGUAGCGGUGAAAUGCUUAGAUAUCACGAAGAACUCCGAUUGCGAAGGCAGCCUGCUAAGCUGCAACUGACAUUGAGGCUCGAAAGUGUGGGUAUCAAACAGGAUUAGAUACCCUGGUAGUCCACACGGUAAACGAUGAAUACUCGCUGUUUGCGAUAUACAGCAAGCGGCCAAGCGAAAGCGUUAAGUAUUCCACCUGGGGAGUACGCCGGCAACGGUGAAACUCAAAGGAAUUGACGGGGGCCCGCGCAAGCGGAGGAACAUGUGGUUUAAUUCGAUGAUACGCGAGGAACCUUACCCGGGCUUAAAUUGCAGAUGAAUUACGGUGAAAGCCGUAAGCCGCAAGGCAUCUGUGAAGGUGCUGCAUGGUUGUCGUCAGCUCGUGCCGUGAGGUGUCGGCUUAAGUGCCAUAACGAGCGCAACCCUUGUUGUCAGUUACUAACAGGUUCCGCUGAGGACUCUGACAAGACUGCCAUCGUAAGAUGUGAGGAAGGUGGGGAUGACGUCAAAUCAGCACGGCCCUUACGUCCGGGGCUACACACGUGUUACAAUGGGGGGUACAGAGGGCCGCUACCACGCGAGUGGAUGCCAAUCCCAAAAACCUCUCUCAGUUCGGACUGGAGUCUGCAACCCGACUCCACGAAGCUGGAUUCGCUAGUAAUCGCGCAUCAGCCACGGCGCGGUGAAUACGUUCCCGGGCCU